rnacentral:rRNA from 1 species
AAAGAAACCAACAGGGAUUGCCUUAGUAGCGGCGAGUGAAGCGGCAAAAGCUCAAAUUUGAAAUCUGGCUCUUUCAGAGUCCGAGUUGUAAUUUGAAGAAGGUAUCUUUGGGUCUGGCUCUUGUCUAUGUUUCUUGGAACAGAACGUCACAGAGGGUGAGAAUCCCGUGCGAUGAGAUGAUCCAGGCCUAUGUAAAGUUCCUUCGAAGAGUCGAGUUGUUUGGGAAUGCAGCUCUAAGUGGGUGGUAAAUUCCAUCUAAAGCUAAAUAUUGGCGAGAGACCGAUAGCGAACAAGUACAGUGAUGGAAAGAUGAAAAGAACUUUGAAAAGAGAGUGAAAAAGUACGUGAAAUUGUUGAAAGGGAAGGGCUUGAGAUCAGACUUGGUAUUUUGUAUGUUACUUCUUCGGGGGUGGCCUCUACAGUUUAUCGGGCCAGCAUCAGUUUGGGCGGUAGGAGAAUUGCGUUGGAAUGUGGCACGGCUUCGGUUGUGUGUUAUAGCCUUCGUCGAUACUGCCAGCCUAGACUGAGGACUGCGGUUUAU